UAUGUGAUCGUCUCUUGCAUAUCAAUAAGCGGAGGAAAAGAAACUAACAAGGAUUCCCCUAGUAACGGCGAGUGAAGCGGGAAGAGCUCAAAUUUGAAAUCUUAAAGGGUUUCCCUUUACGAAUUGUAGUUUAAAGAAGUGUUUUCUGUUGAGGUUUUGGUAAAAGUUCUUUGGAAUAGGACAUCAUAGAGGGUGAGAAUCCCGUAUUUGACCCUUACUUUCAACUUUGUGAUACACUUUCAAAGAGUCGGAUUGUUUGGGAAUGCAGUCCAAAAUGGGUGGUAAAUUUCAUCUAAAGCUAAAUAUUGGCGAGAGACCGAUAGCGAACAAGUACCGUGAGGGAAAGAUUGAAAAGAACUUUGAAAAGAGAGUUAAACAGUACGUGAAAUUGUCAAAAGGGAAGCGUUUGACACCAGUGUUGUUUUUCUGAAAAUCAAUUAAAGAACUGUUUAUGCUAAGUUGUUUAGACUUUAUCAGCUAUCUGUUUAGUUUUGAGCUUUUCUUUAAUGCACUUUUCAGUUAACAAGUCAACAUCAAUUUCUUUUGCUGUAAAAAAGCUUGAGGAAGGUGGCUUGAGAUUCGUCUUAAGUGUUUAUAGCCUCUUGCCUAUGCAGUCGGAGAGAUUGAGGUCUGCAGCGUAGAUCCUUCGGGGCUAAAUGCAUUUGUGCUAAGUUAUAGCAUUUUAUAGACAACUUGUUGACUAUGAUUUGUCUUGUAGCUUACUCGCUUAUGUUAUUUUACCUACGCUUAGGAUGUUGAGUCGUAGAGCACGCAG
rnacentral:rRNA from 1 species